UACAAGAUGGGAUAGGGUGAUGCAGUAUCCUAGUCAGAGUGGCUGCUUUCGAAGGCGGGCCUAAAAAUCCGCCAAAGGGCACACCGAUGAAGUUCCUGGUUUUGGCUUCUGACGCCCAGUCAGGGGUUGAAGCUGGGAGUAAGGGAUAAGGGAGUCCUGCAAUGGCAUGCAGGAUGGAACCCUUUUCCCGUGGAGGCUAACGCACAAAAAGAAAACUAAAUUCUUUUUGUGCGUUAGUAAAACCUACCACCAGGUACAUCUAUAAUUAAGUAGAUGUGCUUGGGGUAGUGUAGCCUGCCUUGAGCGAAAUAGACGGAUGGCCGAAUUUAUGGCUCCUCUAAAAAUAGGGCCCGUUUUUAGAGGAGUCUUGAGGCCUGAAAUCUAUUUCGCAAAAGAGGCUAGAAAGCAUGCCCUCUGUCGAGGAAAGCUCCUAGGCUGUGCCGACUUUCGGCUUUACGAAGGGGAUUAAAGUGCGGACUUAGUGGCGAUCUGGUUGUGUGUUGGGCAACCGCACACCCAGACUUUUAAAGGGAAACCGCCUCCUGGCGACGGGAGGUAAGUUUGGGGGAAAUCCUACCAGACCUUAAGCCGCAAAAUUUACCCUUCGUAAAAUCACCCUAUCCCAUAAAUUU
rnacentral:sRNA from 1 species